ensembl:lncRNA
CCCAUCCCAUCCUACCCCACUUCACCCCUACCAGGCCCCUCCAUCCCCCCACCCUGCUUUCCUCAUUUCUACAGGGAACUUACCUGUUUGCCCCCUCUGUGUCUGGGGCCUCACCUCAGUCCUCUUCAGCUCUUGAACUGAACCUACGUCAUUCUCCUGCCUAGAAACUCUGACCUGGGAUCUUCCUUGAAGUGUUUGCUGUCGUUUACUUGGCCUCGACAGGAAUGCUGUCUUCCAACAUAUCUUCAGGACCGUUUUCCCCUCUCACCAAAUUAGCUACAAGAUGGACUUUCUUUGUGAAUGCCCAAUGACCGACUUUUGUGUUUGAGUCAUCUUGCAGUAUCUUCAAUCAGAGGGACAGACUAAAAUCGCCAAGCUGUCAUAAAUUCAGGAUAUAUACAGUUAGAAUUUCAAGCGUUCUUUUGCGUGUGAUUAUACCAUUUGAUUUUGGUGGCGACGCAGUUGAAAAGCCAGCAGAAUCUCUCCUCCCCUGCCUUUGAUGAAGUUGCUGCCACAUGAGGUGUGCCCAUCUGCAGGAAGUGGAGGAAGGACCCCAGCCAGUUAACCAGCAAGCACAUGAUUGACAGCCUCGGACCAAAAGCCUUGAGGAGCGAACCUGGCCAGAGUUCCAUGAGAGAAUCUGGAAAGGGGUUGUUCCCCAAUCAAGCCUUCCAAUUUCAGCCUUGCCAAAGAACCCCCAAGGCAGAGAAUGCAGGGUUCACAGAGCCUGAGACAAGGGACCAAUAAAGUUAAGGUGCCCAUAACACCAGUAGGUGAUUGUUAAUACGUGCUGGCUUCAUUUGACUUCGGAUGGGAGGUAGGAGGAGGGUAGGAAGAGAUCCAUUCUCAAAG